UCGAGACGGGGUGGUCCGGAGCGGGGGAGCGGUGGAUAAACUGACCUCUGGAACGUCGCGGGGCGCAGCCCCCUGCCGGUCCACCCAUGAUCAGCCAGCAGCCGCUGCAACCCCAGGGAG
rnacentral:sRNA from 25 species